ACAGAGACACAGAGACACAGAGACACAGAGACACAGAGACACAGAGACACAGAGACACAGAGACACAGAGACACAGAGACACAGAGACACAGAGACACAGUGCUGAAAGAACCACUAAGACGAGUGACGCCUAAUUACUUGGUACGCUCACACUGUUCAGAGGAGACUACAUGAAUCAGGCCUUCACGGUCGAAUUGCUACAAAGAAACCACUACUAAAGGACAGCAAUAAUAAUAAGAAGAGACUUGCUUGGGCCAAGUGACACGACUAAUGGACAUUAGACCGGUGGAAAUCUGUCCUUUGCUCUGGACAAUGACCCAAAACACACUUCCAGGCUGUGUAAGGGCUAUUUGCCAAUGAGGGGGAUGGAGUGCUGCAUCAGAUGACCUGGCCUCCAAAAUCAUCUGAUCUCAACCCCGUUGAGAUGGUUUGGGAUAAGUUAGACCGCAGAGUGAAGGAAAAGCUGACAACAAAUGCUCAGCAUUUAUGUGGGAACUCCUUCAGGACUGUUGGAAAAGCAUUCCUCAUGAAGCUGGAGAAUGCCAAGAGUGUGCAAAGCUGUCAUCAAGGCAAAUGGCUACUUUGAAGAAUCUCAAAUAUAAAAUAUAUUUUGAUUUAUUUAACACUUUUUUUAUUCCAUAUGUGUUAUUUCAUAGUU